rnacentral:rRNA from 1 species
UACGUAGGGGGCAAGCGUUGUCCGGAAUCAUUGGGCGUAAAGAGCGUGUAGGCGGCCAGAAAAGUCCGCUGUGAAAACUCGAGGCUCAACUUCGAGCUGUCGGCGGAAACUAUCUGGCUAGAGUCCGGAAGAGGAGAGUGGAAUUCCUGGUGUAGCGGUGAAAUGCGCAGAUAUCAGGAAGAACACCCGUGGCGAAGGCGGCUCUCUGGGACGGUACUGACGCUGAGACGCGAAAGCGUGGGGAGCGAACAGG